GACAUACUCCCUCCGUUCGGAAAUACUUGUCUUAAAAAUGAAUGUAUCUAGAUUUAUUUUAGUUAAAGAUACAUACAUUGUAUACAUUUUUAGGACAAGUAUUUCCGGACGAAGGGAGUACUUA
rfam:Hordeum vulgare subsp. vulgare, WGS project CAJW01000000 data, contig: morex_contig_158102